AGUGCAGUUGCUGGGUGGUAUGGUAAGUGCAUGUUUAGUUUUAUAAAAAACUGGCAAACUAUUUCCAGAAUUACUGUACCAUUUUACAUUCCCACCAGCAGU
rnacentral:pre_miRNA from 1 species